rnacentral:rRNA from 1 species
CACGUAGGGCGCAAGCGUUGUCCGGAAUUAUUGGGCGUAAAGAGCUCGUAGGCGGUCUGUUGCGUCCGCUGUGAAAACUCGGGGCUUAACCCCGAGCCUGCAGUGGAUACGGGCAGACUAGAGGUAGGUAGGGGAGAAUGGAAUUCCCGGUGUAGCGGUGAAAUGCGCAGAUAUCGGGAGGAAUACCAGUGGCGAAAGCGACACCCUGGCAUUAGCCUGACGCUCAUGUGCGAAGGCGUGGGGAGCGAACGGG